rnacentral:rRNA from 1 species
AUUGAACGCUGGCGGCAGGCCUAACACAUGCAAGUCGAGCGGAUGAAGGGAGCUUGCUCCUGGAUUCAGCGGCGGACGGGUGAGUAAUGCCUAGGAAUCUGCCUGGUAGUGGGGUAUAACGUCCGGAAACGGGCGCUAAUACCGCAUACGUCCUGAGGGAGAAAGUGGGUGAUCUUCGGACCUCACGCUAUCAGAUGAGCCUAGGUCGGAUUAGCUAGUUUGUGGGGUAAAGGCCUACCAAGGCGACGAUCCGUAACUGGUCUGAGAGGAUGAUCAGUCACACUGGAACUGAGACACGGUCCAGACUCCUACGGGAGGCAGCAGUGGGGAAUAUUGGACAGAGGGCGAAAGCCUGAUCCAGCCAUGCCGCGUGUGUGAAGAAGGUCUUCGGAUUGUAAAGCACUUUAAGUUGGGAGGAAGGGCAGUAAGUUAAUACCUUGCUGUUUUGACGUUACCAACAGAAUAAGCACCGGCUAACUUCGUG